UCCAGAAUUCAGGGGCAAGUGCCUGUUUCUCAAGAAACACGGAGCCAACAUGGCGACCGGGCCGAGUCAGUUUCCCUCACCGUUUUAUAUGAAAACAGCUGAAAAAGUAGGAGGGUAGUGUAGCGGCAACAACAUCGGAGUCACAUGAUUCAUAAAGCCAGGCUGCCCUGUUCCAAUAUGGUGGUCAGCUUGGCAGAGCUGCGUCUCCCGUUGAUCAUAUCGUUCCUGUGCGGGUUCGGAGCCUGCAGCCUUCAAGAAACGCAGGUUUACGGACUGCGCCUGGAGGACUUAAACGAGCGGGUGUACAUGCGCGAACGGGUCCUCGUAGCUCCGCACGGGACCAUCUUCAAGCUCAGAUUGUUUGGGUCCUACCUGUCCAAUGAGACCUGGCCGUGGGUCGCGUUCGCCGCGGUUGGAGGCGGUUCAGUUGACCCGUGCGAGCUGGAGGAACGCCGCAACUCCUCUGCGUUUCAGGUACGCGGAGCGUUCAAGUUGGAUGACGAGAACAGCGGGAUUAUAGAAGUCCAGACCGAAGCUGCAGCAUCCGAUCCGGGGAAUAAAGAUGCAGAGCCCGAGUUCCAUCAUGUUUGCGUCUUAAAGGGCCAGACAUGGGGGUCUUUUGGGUCGGACAAGUUGAUUAUUAAGAACCCGGCUGUGCCAUCAGAUUACAUUCCAUUAUGGGGUCUGAUUUUGGUGGUUGUGCUUCUGGUUUUGGUUUGCUGUGUGGUCAGAUGUGUGAAUCUGAGUUUGCUGUGGCUGGACCCACUGGAGCUGUAUGUUUUGCACAGCUGUGGUUCGGAGGAUGAAAAGCGGGCAGCCAAGCGCCUCAAGCCUAUUCGAAGGAGAGGAAAUGUUCUGGUUUGUUCGCUCUUGUUUAUUUGUGCUCUGGGUCACUCUGUGCUCGGCGUCCUGUUGUACCGCCUCUAUGGGUCCAUCGUGCCUGCUGUGUUCACUAGUGGCUUCCUCAUAUUCCUUCUGGCUGAGCUGGUUCCUCAUAUUGUAUGUUCAGGUUAUGGGUUCCAGAUGGCACCGGGUUUGACAUGGCUGGCCCAGAUCUGUCUCAUCCUGACGUGUCCGCUUUCUUGUCCUCUCGGCCUCCUGCUGGACUUGAUUCUGCAUCGGGAUGUGAGCACCGUCGGCAUCCGUGAGAAAACCAUGGAAAUGAUUCGGACUAGUGUGAACGAUCCGUAUAAUGAGUUCGUCAAGGUGGAGUUCAGUAAAGGCGCUCUCAGGACCAAAACCGUGGAGGACAUCCUGACGCCUCUGAAAGACUGCUUCAUGCUGCCCUCGACGGCCGUCCUGGACUUCAACACCAUGUCUGAGAUCAUGCAGAGCGGUUACACUCGCGUCCCGGUGUAUGAAGAGGAGAAGUCCAAUAUCAUCGAAAUCCUGUACGUCAAAGACCUGGCGCUGGUUGACCCGGAGGACCACACUCCCAUGACCACCAUCACCAAGUUCUACAACCAUCCUCUGCAUUAUGUUUUUAAUGACACCAAACUGGAUGCAAUGCUGGAAGAAUUCAAAAAAGGGAACUCCCACCUGGCCAUCGUUCAGAAGGUGAAUAAUGAGGGCGAAGGAGACCCCUUCUACGAGGUCCUGGGUCUGGUCACGCUGGAGGACGUCAUCGAGGAGAUCAUCAAAUCUGAGAUCCUGGACGAGUCUGAUGGCUACAUGGACGUGAAGGUGAAGCGUCCGAUGGCCCCGGUGGAGAUCCCUCUGGAGACACGCGGCGUUCACGACGAGUUCUCCAUCUUCAAACCUCCAGAGGGUGAACCAAAGAUCCGCACCUCUCCCCAACUAUUGCUGGCCACCCACCGAUUCCUGUCCCGAGAGGUGGAACACUUCAGCCCACAGCGUGUGUCAGAGAGAGUCCUGUUUCAUCUGCUGCGGCACCCCAGCGUCAACCAAGAAGUGAAGUUUGACCCCGCGGUCCGGCUCAGUCCUGAUCACUACCUGUACACCCGAAACCAUCCGGUGGAUUACUUCAUUCUGCUGCUGCAGGGCCGUGUGGAGGUGGAGAUCGGGAAAGAGGGUUUGAAGUUUGAGAAUGGCGCGUUCACCUACUACGGCGUUUCAGCGCUCACAGCUCCCUCCUCAGUCCAUCAGUCUCCGGUGUCCACGCAGCAUCAGUCCCCCAGAGACCCCUUUGAUUUGGGAGACGCCACCAGCCCGUCCAGCUACUGUCCCGACUACACCGUCCGAGCCCUCACAGACCUGCAGUUCAUCAAGGUGACCCGUCUGCAGUACCUCAACGCUGUGAUGGCGUCGCGGGUAGCACAGAGCCCCGACCCGCCUGAAAUCAAGAUCCUGCCCAACAGUCAAACCAAACUCCUGAACGAGAAAAACACCACUCAAGACUUUCAGCUCCACUUUUCAUUCUUUGAAGCAAUUGACAACUACUGUUAGUGUGCUUUGCAUGAGGUAAAUGCAAGUGAUUAGCAUGGUGUGUUACGUUUGAAACAUGUCUCCCAUCAACACAUCGGAGCAUCACCAGGUGGUUGGUAUGACACGUCAGUGCAUGUCACCGCUUUCAUUUGAAUGCAGCACAGAAGUGAGCUUAAACAGGAGAUAAAUGUCCAGGUGCGAGCAAGAGCCAGGAAUCUAGUCCAGACGAGGAGCUUCACAGCCAGAGAGGAGCGUUUUGACCUUCCACCUAACCUUCCUGCAGAACUCACAAGGAUCUUAUUGUGACAGCUAAUUUGUUUUUGUCAUCUUAAGUGAACCUUUUACUCCUGGAGUGCAGCGAUUGAGCCAGAUGCAGGACUGCUGAAAACAAAAGACUUGUUCAUUCUGGUCAAACCGGAUCCGUUCUCACUCUUCUCCUUAUUUAGCCAUUCCCUCUGAUGUCACUUCCUCUGUUGGAGAUCACUUAUUUCUACAAGAUGUGUGCGUGUACAUAUGUGCUUAUAAAUUAAAUGGUGUGCCAAGAUUUUGCUAUCCCUGUCGUAUCAUAUAAACCGUAUAUACAGCCCUGAAUUGUCAAGCCCUUAUGUGCCAAAAUAGUCAUCCUCAUGUCAUUCCAUACACAUAAUCUUGUCUUUUCUGUUUAAUAAUGACUGCAGCUUCAUUAAAGCACUCAAAUGUCAUUCUCCAUAUGUAUUUGAACUGUCAAACCCAAGAAACAAAUCUGAACACAAAUACAAUUUUAGAGCUUUUGGGGGAAGUACACGCUUAAAAACAAAGGUUUUGUAUAGUGGUUCCACAGGUGCCAGUAAAGAAAAUAAAGUUCUUUAUUGUUAACAUCCAUAGAAUCUUUCCAUUCCACAAAAAGUUUAGGGUUUAGAUUAUUCAAAAUGUUCUUCACACACUCUUAAAAAUAAAGGUUCCAAAAGGAAUCAUUGUGUUCGUUAAAGAACCUUUCAGUGAACAGUUCUAAAAGGAACCAUCGAACAAAUUUUUUUAAAGCUUUCCCAUACUGGAAUAACCUGAGCAUUCCAUUGGUUUAAAAUGGAAUUGAUCUUAGCAGUAAUAAAAAUCCCAUGUUUUAGAGGUGGUAUCUAAAUUGAAAUAUAGAAACCUUGUUUAGAUGCUUGUUAAUGAGUCUAGAAGCUUUUCUGAUGUUCCGUUGUAAUGAAUCCGUUAUCCGUUCCAUCCGCUUGUCCUAUUAUAAGAUGCUUGGCUAAACAUUCUUAGUAGCUUAUUUUACAUUUUUACAACAUUCCACUUCCAGCUUAGACUUAUUCAAAUGUUUGGAAUAAUUGUUUGUUUGUUGUUUUUUUUUCAACCAUUUUUCUUAUGCUCACCAAGUGAAAUAUGGUGAAAAUCUUAUUAGUUUUCUGUUUGAAUAUAUUUUAAAUUGUAAUUUAUUCCUGUAAUUCAGUGCUGAAUUUUCAACAUCAUUCCUCCAGUCUUCAGUGUCACAUGAUCUUCAGAAAUCAUUCUGAUAUGCUGAUUUGCUGCUCAAGAAAAAUCUUUCUUAUUAUCAAUGUUGAAUACGGUUGUGCUGCUUCAUAUUUUUGUGUAAACCAUGAUACAGUUUUCCAUUAUUUACUGAUGAAUAAAAGUGCAAAAGAACAGCAUUUAUUUGAAAUAAAAAUCAUAAAUGUC